rnacentral:rRNA from 1 species
AACGAACGCUGGCGGCAGGCCUAACACAUGCAAGUCGAACGCCGUAGCAAUACGGAGUGGCAGACGGGUGAGUAACACGUGGGAACGUACCCUUCGGUUCGGGAUAACUCAGGGAAACUUGAGCUAAUACCGGAUACGUCCGAGAGGAGAAAGAUUUAUCGCCGAGGGAUCGGCCCGCGUCUGAUUAGCUUGUUGGUGAGGUAACGGCUCACCAAGGCGACGAUCAGUAGCUGGCUGAGAGGAUGAUCAGCCACAUUGGGACUGAGACACGGCCCAAACUCCUACGGGAGGCAGCAGUGGGGAAUAUUGGACAAUGGGCGCAAGCCUGAUCCAGCCAUGCCGCGUGAGUGAUGAAGGCCCUAGGGUUGUAAAGCUCUUUUACCCGGGAAGAUAAUGACUGUACCGGGAGAAUAACGCCCCGGCUAACUUCGUGCCAGCCGCCGCCGUAAU